rnacentral:tRNA from 1 species
GGGUGGGAAGACAAAGUUUUGCGUUAGAUUGUAGCUCUAGUUUUGGGAGAAAACAUCUCCCCUCACUCA